UGUAUGGCGUCAUCGUCAGUAUUAUACUCCUUUAUUUCAACGCUUUCUGUCUUUUAUUGAAGAUAAAUGGAAUAAUCGCCCACAAAUUGAUUUUCUGAAUGAUGAUUAACCCGUUUGGAAUGGUUUUGAUACGUUCCUGACUUAAACCCACAUGAUGACUGAAUUGAGGCAUCGAGAUAUGCGACUGGUCAGCCAGUCGUCUUUUGACGAUGCCCAAUACAAAACAUGAUGCCGACUGACGGAAAUGAUAAUACCCGGAAACAGGACGGGGCUGUUUUUGGGCAGCCGGAAGUUAAGCCCAUACCAGAAACGUUGCAGUGUACUGAAAAAUGGCGCCAGGUUGCACUGUAAGUAUCCUGCAUAAUCGAGCCAUUCACAUUUAGAGAUCAUCCGACAUAAUCAAUCUGCCAACGCAGGAGAUCGCUGUGCGUAAAGCCCGUAUUACUG
rnacentral:misc_RNA from 1 species